GGAAGUAAAAUCGUAACAAGGUCUCCGUUGGUGAACCAGCGGAGGGAUCAUUACAGGACUCGCAAGACUCCUACAACCCUGUGAACUUAACUAUAAGCACGUUGCUUCGGCGGGUGUCUCGGAGGGGGUUCUCCCUCCCCGAGACGCUAAACCCGCCGGCAGCCUACUAUACUCUGUCUCUUUGCGUUGGCAUCUCGAGUACAAUCAAACAAGUUAAAACUUUCAACAACGGAUCUCUUGGUUCUG
rnacentral:misc_RNA from 1 species